rnacentral:piRNA from 1 species
CAAUCCAGUGUGUCCCCAAGAUGUGGCC